rnacentral:tRNA from 1 species
GCGAGAGUGGCGAAAUUGGCAGACGCGCUAGACUUAGGAUCUAGUGUCCAAAAAACGUGGGGGUUCGAGUCCCCCCUUUCGCA